rnacentral:rRNA from 1 species
UAACCGCGCGUUGUUAGCAAUUUGUACUGUGAACUGCGAAUGGUUCAUUAAUCAGUUAUCGUUUAUUUGAUAGUACCUUACUACUUGGAUACCUGUGGUAAUUCUAAAGCUAAUACUUGCUAAAAACCCCGACUUCGAGAAGGGGUGUAUUUAUUAAAUAAAAACCCAGCCCCCUUCGGGGCUCUUUGGAGAAUCGUAAUAACUUAACAAAUCGCAUGCCCUUGCCCCGGCGAGGGUUCUUUCAAUUUUCUGCCCUAUCAUUUUUCUAUGGGAGGAUAGGGCCCUACCGUGGUGGCAACGGAAAACGGGGAAUUAGGUUUCAAUCCCGGAAAGGGACCCUGAAAAACGGAUACCACAUCCAGGGAAGGCAGCGGGCGCGCAAUUUACCCACCCCCGAUACGGGGAGGUAGAGACAAUAAAUACUGAUACGGGCCUCUUUUGGCUCUCGAAUUUGAAAUGAAAACAUUUUAAAUCCCUUAAAGAGAAACAAUUGGAGGGAAAGUCGGGUGCCAGCACCCGCGGAAUUUCCAUCUCCAAUAGCAUAUAUUAAAGUUGUUGCAUUUAAAAAGCUCAUAUUUGACCCUUGGCUCGGUGUGCCCGGCCCGCCUCACCGCGAGCACUGGGCCCGGCUGGACCUUUCCUUUCUGGGGAACCUCAUGCCCUUCUCUGGGGUGGGGGGGGGAACCAGGAU